AUUGAACGCUGGCGGCAUGCCUAACACAUGCAAGUCGAACGGCAGCACGGCAGUAGCAAUACUGUGGGUGGCGAGUGGCGGACGGGUGAGGAAUACGUCGGAAUCUGCCCAGUCGUGGGGAUAACUAGCCGAAAGGUUAGCUAAUACCGCAUACGACCGAGAGGUGAAAGACGGGGACCGGCAAGGCCCGCCGCGAUUGGAUGAGCCGACGUCGGAUUAGCUAGUUGGUGGGGUAAAGGCCCACCAAGGCGACGAUCCGUAGCUGGUCUGAGAGGAUGAUCAGCCACACUGGAACUGAGACACGGUCCAGACUCCUACGGGAGGCAGCAGUGGGGGAAU
rnacentral:rRNA from 1 species